rnacentral:miRNA from 1 species
UCCUCCUCCUCCUCCUCCUCCUCUUCCACCUCCUCCUCCUCCUCCAAUACCCUUCAGCAUUUCAUAUAAUCCUGGUUUGGUGGUGGUGAACUCCUUUAGCUUUUUCUUGUCUGUGAAGCACUUUAUCUGACCUUCAAUUCUGAAUGAUAGCUUUGCUGAGUAUUCUUGGUUGUAGGUUCUUGCUAUUCA